GGCCCUGCCGAGCCGGGAAGGGAAGGAGCGGAAAGGUCCCCAGCACAGCAAGGACAGGGAGGUGUUGGAGCCAGUCCAGAGGCGGCCGUCAAGUUGAUCAGAGGGAUGGAGGAAAGGAUGAGAGAGUUGGGGUUGCUCGGGCUGGAGAAGAGAAGAUUAAACAUGACAGAGAAGACCAAGACUUCUAGUUCCAGCAUCAGUGAAAUAUGUUUGAACAUAUAGACACCUACUUUACAAAAGGAUUUCUUGUUCAGUCUUAAUUGUACAUUCAUUCAUUGGCAUUGACUGUAACUCUCAGCCCAGUGUGAUGGUGGGACAGGCAGAAGAAUAAUUCUUCCAGAAGGCAGCAGCAAAAGGAAGCUUAGAGAAUGUGAUUUGUGGAGGAACUGCAUUUAUUUUAUCACCCUUGCCCGGACUUCUUUAUAGAUGUCUCUGACUGCAUAGUGAUUUACUGGAAAAGGUGAUUAAGGAGCCAAUGUGUGAUGAAAGCUACACGUGGCUGGAUGGUGGAGGAAGAAAAUCACAGUGUGCUGCUCUUGUUCUUCCUACACACUCACUGCUCGGUACCACAGGGAUUGGAAGAGGGGAUCAGUUGGACUCUUGGGAUGAUUUUUAUGGCACCUCUUCUGCUGGCCAGGUCAGAAGCAUUAUGGCUACACAACAUGAGAACUCAAGCAGAAACCAGUGAGCUGGAGAGGGAAAAGAGCACAGCCUCCUUCACUUCCUAAGCUUUGAAACUUGCUUUAGUGGGAAGUGGAUGGAGCAGUGUCUUGUCUUUCUGUCCAGGAAACUGUACAAACAUACUGGGAUGUACAAUAUGUACAAACAUUGGAAUAAAAACUGUUCAACAUUUAAAAUUUCUAUUUCAUGGGAAAUGUUGACAUUUCACACCUUAGAGUUUCAGCAGAAAUUUGAAUGUAAUGCCAUUUGUGGGAACUGCUUGUCUGUUCACUGAAGGCAAGAUGUUUGUUGUGGCUUUCAUGACAGAACAAAACAAGCCACAUGAUCAGAGCAGCUUGCACUCACUCACACUGCAUGCACACACUGGAGCUAGAGCCACCUGGCAGCAACAAGCAAAUACAGCAAUGAAAAAGAAAAAGUGUUUCAUGAAGGUAGGACAAGACACUAACAAGAUGUAGAAAGAAAUUGUCAAAAGAACUGAUUGCUGCUGCUCAUGGCAGUGAUUGACCAGCACAAUGAACUAUCUCAGGAGAAGCUGUUGCUUGUCCUUAAGGAUGUUUUCAAGAUUUUUAUGUUCAUAUAAACUUCCAGCAUCUUCAAAACUAAAGCUAAGGAGAAAAAAAAAGCGGGGAAAGGAUAUGAAGAAGAGCUGUCCUGGGAACCAAGGCUUCAUUAUUUACCUCAGCACCAAACAGAAGAAAAGCUAGUGAUGCAUCUAGUUAUAUAUUUGCAGUUUUAAAAUAUAAAUAUUAGUCUUAAAGAAAGAGGUAGAGGGUUGUAGGCUUGUUGCUGAUACCAGUGGUUGUCCUUGAGAACAGUUUUCUCCGUUCUUUUAGGAAAUAGGCAAACUCUUGCCUACAGAGAAAACAACAGGUUUAUGGAUUAACACAGGGAUGUGAUUUCCCACUUUGUUCCCUUCUGUGCUGGCACAGAGGUCCCAAACACUGGCACAAACCUCCUGUGCUGAGUUUACAUGAGAAUGUGCUGACAUGUGGAUGGGGGGCUGCUCUGUGAGAAGACACCAGGAGCUGCCUCCACAUCAGGCACAGCUGGUUCCAGCUUCCUUGAAAAUGGAUCCAGCUCUGCCCAAGGCUGGGCCCAUGAGCCAAGCUGCUGCCCCAGCCCAGCACACCUGCAGGUCACAGCUCCCUCUGCACAUCCCAGCUGAAAGCAGCAUUUUCUCCAAGCUGCUGGCUCUUGCAUCACUUUAUUCAGUGACACUCAGCAAUUAGAGACACAAAAAGGCAUCAGGAUGGCCUUUGAUUAUCAACUUUCUUAGAGCAGGAGAGGAAGAUGCAUUGUUUAUCAUUUGCUUCACUUCAGUGAUUUUCCUCAUUAUGGGAUAAAUACAGAGCAGGAACAGCAGGAACAGCUCAGGAGUAGAAUGCUGGAGGAAAAGCCUAGCAUAUAUCACAGGACUAGGCAUUCUCCAUCCUAUUGCUUGGGUUUUUUUCUCGAAGUCACAUCUUUGUUCCAGUAAGAUAAAGAAAUGAGAAUAUAUCUAGCCAAAGCAAGGCACACUGCAUUUAGGACAUAUUAUUAGUUUUUACAUCUGUGAUAAAGUAUUACAGUGUAUUAACAUUUUUGGACCAAUUUUAGCUGUAACUUGGGAUUCAGAAACUCAAGAUGAUUAUAUGUGUGGCUGGAAAAGAUUUUAUUUCCCAAGUAGAAUAAAUGAGUGCUAUGAAAUACAUUUUACUAUUCCAAAGACAUUAGCAAAGGAAUGUUCAAAGCAAUUUAGUGGGAAUUUCUAGUGAUCAAAAAUUAAAAAUAGAUGCCAUAAAGCAAAUAAUUUCCACGAGUUUAUAAAAUUUUAUUUUUUUUAAACCAGAAAUCGUCUGAUUUCAACUGAGAAUGGCUCUAGAUCUCUUUGUUAAAAAUGUAUUGAAUUACUUCCUCCUACAAAUCAAAAUUCACCACAGAUGGUUCAGGAAAAUGUAUGAUCUCUAUAUUGAAAUCUCGAUUUAUUUCAUUUACUUAAAUACAAGGGUAACCUCCCAAGUCAGAGAACCAGAAAUAAGUCUUACUGAGGAUAUUCAUAUGACUACGAAGGCUCAGAAAUUUGAAUGACUUCUGAGACAACUGUUUUGUUUGUCAAGAUUUCUCUAAAUAGUCAUGCGUGGUAAAGAAAAUUACCUUCAGUGACCUUAUUGUGCAAACAUCAAAACUUACUAAGACUGCCUAUUCACAUAUUUGUAACUCUUCAUUUGCUUGUGGUAAAUAAUAUUAGAUAAUAUGUUAAAGUACAUGGAAUAUGGUGUUGUUUUAAAUGUUAUUCAAGUAGUCAUCAUAAUGCUGUUGUAAAAUAAAAAUUUUUGGGAGAUUGUGCCCAAAUACUCCCACAACGUGUGUGUUUGAAGACGACAGAUUUCAUGAUGUAUAAACAUUUAAGUGAAAAUAAGAAGUGUUUGAAAAAGGUUUUAUUUAAAAACAUCCAGCCUGUGAAUUUUGUUAUAGUGUGCUCUGCAUAUAAGCAUCUUAAUCUCACUCUUAAUCUCAAUCUUUUAAAAUUUAGAAAUGCUUCAGUAUCAGCAUGAAAAGCAGGCACACUGCUGUCUGGAAUGCAAGAACUUAAUUUCAUGAAAGUUAAAUAAAACAUGUGGCUCUUUACCAUGACCAGUGCACUUAUUUUUUACGCUAUUAUUUCAUUUACUGAAGUGAAAAUAACCAUUACAGGACAGGGGUGCACUCCUGACAUUUCUUGUUAUACAUUAUACAAAAUGCCAUACCAUUAGAUGGUGAAUUAAGAACUGGCAAGAAUAUUACAUGGAUCACAUUUUGGUGAUCUUAUUUUCCUCUUGUGGUUUGGGAAAAACCCCAAGCACAUGCUGUUUUUAAAGUGGAGUAAUCGCCACAAGAAGCUGAGCUGAUGUGAAGGCUUAGUGCCAGCAGACAGGGUGGUCCAGCCCCUACUCCCUGCCUUGUGCUGCUCAGGAGGGGAGGAGGUAGACAAAUUAGGGAGUGAAUUUAAGCCUUGGCAAAAGGGAUCAAUUGGAGGAAGAUACUUUUAAGAUCUGGUUUUAUUUCUCAUUACCCUACUCUGAUUUGUUUGGAAAUAAAUUAAUUUCCCCAACUGGAGGCUGUUUUGC